rnacentral:miRNA from 1 species
CAAGAGAAUUGGGCUAGAGCUG